AAAAAAGAAAAAUAAAAGAAAGGGGGAGGGAGGCAGAUGAAAGGGGGAAAGGGGAAACUAGCAGAAGAAGAGAAGGUGUAGAGAAUAGCAAGAAGAAAGGGGUUGGUUCUCAUCAGGAAUUCAAGGUACUUAGAAGGGUUGUUUUAUAACCUAUAUGGAGUGCGCGCACUGAGACUUAGUGAUCAUCUUUUUUUCUUUUUUUUUCAGACGUUGUAUAAUCUUUUUGUGAAAAGUGUUUGUAUAUACAACAAUGAUCUUGUGUAUAUAUGACAAUAGAUCCUACUUUGAUCUUGUAUAUAAGUAAAUGGCUAGUUCUGGUUUUA